GUGAAAUCCUGUAAUCCUUGGGGGACCGCCUGUGGCGAAGGCGUCUCACCAGAACGGCUCCGACAGUGAGGGACGAAAGCUGGGGGAGCAAACCGGAUUAGAUACCCGGGUAGUCCCAGCUGUAAACGAUGCGCGUUAGGUGUAUCGGUGACCACGAGUCAUCGAGGUGCCGAAGAGAAAUCGUGAAACGUGCCGCCUGGGAAGUACGGUCGCAAGGCUGAAACUUAAAGGAAUUGGCGGGAAGGGCGAAUUCGU
rnacentral:rRNA from 1 species